rnacentral:rRNA from 1 species
ACCUUGGUAGUCCACGCAGUAAACGUUGCUAACUUGUUUUCGGGGAGUGAUCUUCGGAGACCAAGCGAAAGUGAUAAGUUAGCCACGUGGGGAGUACGUUCGCAAGAAUGAAACUCAAAGGAAUUGACGGGGGCCCGCACAAGCGGUGGAGCAUGUGGUUUAUUUCGAUGAUACGCGAGGAACCUUACCAAGGCUUAAAUGCAUAAUGACAGGAGUGGAAACACUUUUUUCUUCGGACAGAAUGCAAGGUGCUGCAUGGCUGUCGUCAGCUCGUGCCGUGAGGUGUUAGGUUAAGUCCUGCAACGAGCGCAACCCCUAUCAUUAGUUGCCAGCGUAUAAAGACGGGGACUCUAAUGAGACUGCCAACGCAAGUUGAGAGGAAGGUGGGGACGACGUCAAGUCAUCACGGCCCUUACGUCUUGGGCCACACACGUGCUACAAUGGUCGGUACAGAGGGCAGCUACCAGGCGACUGGAUGCGAAUCUCUAAAGCCGAUCUCAGUUCGGAUUGGAGUCUGCAACUCGACUCUAUGAAGCUGGAAUCGCUAGUAAUCGCAAAUCAGCCAUGUUGCGGUGAAUACGUUCCCGGGCCUUGUACACACCGCCCGUCAAGCCAUGGAAGCUGGGGGUACCUGAAGAUGUCU